rnacentral:lncRNA from 10 species
CGUCGGUGUCUCAGUGUUCCAUCCCGCGCGCCCGCCUCGCCGCCACCGCCCCCCCGACACACGCCCUCCCCGCCCGGGUCGCGGGCUCCCCAGCGCCGGCCCCGCCCGCUACCCCCGCCUCAACCCGGCGAACCAGCCGCGGAUCUGGGCUCAUUGAAUAUUAAUCAUGCGCCGGGAGCGGGAAGGCGGGAGGCUGGCAGGGCGGGAGGGCCGCGUGUGCCUCAUAAAUAUUCAUCGCCGGCAUGACGGCAUUCCAGGGAGGAGUGGGGAGAGCCAGGGGAUGGCCGGAGGCGGAGCUUCAGGGUAAACAAACGUGACGCGUGCGUACGAGGGCGGGGUGGGGGGCAGUUUCCCGGGAGGUUCCUGAGCCGGCCUCGGAGAGGGCAGUGAAGACCGACGCGCGCGGUAAACCUUGGGAGUUGUGGUUCUCGUAAGGGGAUCGGCAAUCCCGAGGGAAACAUGGUGGACUACAAGUCCCAGCGGUCCUUUGGUUCUGCUUCUCCUGGCCGCCAGCAGCUGGCCGUGGCCAGUGAGUAUUGUGCCCUCUGCCGUUGAACUCUGUGCCAGAGUUCUUAAUGAACACGAAUGCUCAUGUUCAUUAACUUGUAUUUUACCCGCACUCCAGCUUGCCAGAUGACUUUUAUUUUCCCUACUAAUUAAAGGUGAGGGCUUUCAGGGACUGUAAACGUACGAAGGUCGCAGGUCCUGGUCCUCACCUGCGCCCAUUGUAUGAGAUAGAGAUACACACCCGUCACACCACAGCAUCACUGGCAGUCUGAGUGGGCCAACCUCACUUUUUCCCCACUUUUUCAAGACCCAGGAAGACAGGCAGCGUCUGGGAAUUCUAACUGAGGCUGUCGUUGAAUGUGCUUGUUCGAAGGCACAACCCUAAGUCUGUCCUCUCCCUCUCCUGUACCUGAAAAGGAAAAUAGCAAAGGACUGAGGUUUCAUUGUUUCCCAUUGCUCUUGAAGUCUGAAGUAGUUUAAUGACACAGAAAGCACUGGGAAAAAAAAAAUAGUUUCUACUGCCACAAUGUUUAGUCGUGGUCUGAAAAGUUGUAUUUUUCGUCAGUUGAAUCAAUGUUGUAAUCAUUGGGCAGUUUACUAUUUAAAAGAAUGUUGUACACCUUUUUAAUUGAAUUACCAUUCCCCCAAUUGCUUUGUAAUUCGGGAUUUUUCUUUUCUUUUUUUCUUUCUUUUUUCUUUUUUUCUUUUUUUUUUUUUUUUUUUUGGCCACAGAGUGGGUCUGUCGUCCAGGCUGGAGUGCGGUAGCGCGAUCUGGGCUCACUGCAACCUCCGCCUCUCGGGCCCAGUGGGGGUGGGAAGUCCCUUCAUGCUGCCCCGGCAGGUCUCAAGCGAUCUGCCCGCCUCAGCCUC